GAAUUGCGAAAUGUAAUGUGAAUUGCAGAAUUCGUGAAUCAUCAAAUCUUUGAACGCACAUUGCACUGUCCUCGAGGCAGUAUGUCUGUUUGAGUAUCUGUACCCCAUUAUCUCGGCAUAUUUGUGUCGGGCAAUUGAGCAGCUACUUUGCGCUUAUCGCGACUUAGUACUGGUUGAAAUGAAGGUGGUUUAGCGAGGUAGUUAUGCACCCGCUAUACUGAAACAUGGUGGUAAACUAGCCCGAGUCGGCAGCGGAACAUCAGUCAUGGUUACGACUUUUGACUCGGUCCCUUCCGCUGCACUCAACGACUCUUGCCAAGUGCCCCAAUUAAAGAUCUCAAAUUAGACAAGAUUACCCGCUGAACUUAA
rnacentral:misc_RNA from 1 species